rfam:Melampsora larici-populina 98AG31 unplaced genomic scaffold MELLAscaffold_19, whole genome shotgun sequence.
GACGGGAUGGCCGAGUGGUUAAGGCGGCAGUUUAGAACCUAGCAAAGAUCCAGCUGCUUCACUUUGUGAGCGUGAGUUCAAAUCUCACUUCCGUCG